GUCGAACGGCAGCGGACCUUCGGGUGCCGGCGAGUGGCGAACGGGUGAGUAAUGCAUCGGAACGUGCCAUUGAGUGGGGGAUAACGUAGCGAAAGUUGCGCUAAUACCGCAUAUUCUGUGCGCAGGAAAGCAGGGGACCGCAAGGCCUUGCGCUCUUUGAGCGGCCGAUGUCAGAUUAGCUAGUUGGUGAGGUAACGGCUUACCAAGGCGACGAUCUGUAGCGGGUCUGAGAGGAUGAUCCGCCACACUGGAACUGAGACACGGUCCAGACUCCUACGGGAGGCAGCAGUGGGGAAUUUUGGACAAUGGGGGCAACCCUGAUCCAGCCAUGCCGCGUGAGUGAAGAAGGCCUUCGGGUUGUAAAGCUCUUUCGGCCGGGAAGAAAUCGCAUGGGUUAAUACCCUGUGUGGAUGACGGUACCGGCAUAAGAAGCACCGGCUAACUACGUGCCAGCAGCCGCGGUAAUACGUAGGGUGCGAGCGUUAAUCGGAAUUACUGGGCGUAAAGCGUGCGCAGGCGGUUUGGUAAGACAGGCGUGAAAUCCCCGGGCUCAACCUGGGAACUGCGCUUGUGACUGCCUCACUAGAGUACGGCAGAGGGGGGUGGAAUUCCACGUGUAGCAGUGAAAUGCGUAGAGAUGUGGAGGAACACCGAUGGCGAAGGCAGCCCCCUGGGCCGAUACUGACGCUCAUGCACGAAAGCGUGGGUAGCAAACAGGAUUAGAUACCCUGGUAGUCCACGCCCUAAACGAUGUCAACUAGGUGUUGGGUGGGUAAAACCAUUUAGUACCGGAGCUAACGCGUGAAGUUGACCGCCUGGGGAGUACGGCCGCAAGGUUAAAACUCAAAGGAAUUGACGGGGACCCGCACAAGCGGUGGAUGAUGUGGAUUAAUUCGAUGCAACGCGAAAAACCUUACCUACCCUUGACAUGCCAGGAACUUGCCAGAGAUGGCUUGGUGCCCGAAAGGGAGCCUGGACACAGGUGCUGCAUGGCUGUCGUCAGCUCGUGUCGUGAGAUGUUGGGUUAAGUCCCGCAACGAGCGCAACCCUUGUCGUUAAUUGCCAUCAUUUGGUUGGGCACUUUAACGAGACUGCCGGUGACAAACCGGAGGAAGGUGGGGAUGACGUCAAGUCCUCAUGGCCCUUAUGGGUAGGGCUUCACACGUCAUACAAUGGUCGGUACAGAGGGUUGCCAAGCCGCGAGGCGGAGCCAAUCCCAGAAAGCCG
rnacentral:rRNA from 1 species